UGGGGAAUUUUGGACAAUGGGGGAAACCCUGAUCCAGCCAUGCCGCGUGAGUGAAGAAGGCCUUCGGGUUGUAAAGCUCUUUCAGCCGGAACGAAAUGGUCACGGCUAAUACCCGUGACAAAUGACGGUACCGGAAGAAGAAGCACCGGCUAACUACGUGCCAGCAGCCGCGGUAAUACGUAGGGUGCAAGCGUUAAUCGGAAUUACUGGACGUAAAGCGUGCGCAGGCGGUUUUGUAAGUCAGAUGUGAAAUCCCCGGGCUUAACCUGGGAACUGCGUUUGAAACUACAAGGCUAGAGUGUGGCAGAGGGGGUGGAAUUCCACGUGUAGCAGUGAAAUGCGUAGAGAUGUGGAGGAACACCGAUGGCGAAGGCAGCCCCCUGGGUUAACACUGACGCUCAGGCACGAAAGCGUGGGGAGCAAACAGGAUUGGAUACCCUGGUAGUCCACGCCCUAAACGAUGU
rnacentral:rRNA from 1 species